AACGAACGCUGGCGGCAGGCUUAACACAUGCAAGUCGAACGCCCCGCAAGGGGAGUGGCGCACGGGUGAGUAACGCGUGGGAAUCAACCUUCUGGUACGGGACAACCUCGGGAAACUGAGGCUAAUACCGUAUAUCUCCUCAGGGAGAAAGAUUUAUCGCCAGAAGACGAGCCCGCGUCCGAUUAGCUAGUUGGUAGGGUAAUGGCCUACCAAGGCGACGAUCGGUAGCUGGUCUGAGAGGACGAUCAGCCACACUGGGACUGAGACACGGCCCAGACUCCUACGGGAGGCAGCAGUGGGGAAUAUUGGGCAAUGGGCGCAAGCCUGACCCAGCCAUGCCGCGUGAGUGACGAAGGCCUUAGGGUUGUAAAGCUCUUUCGGUCGGGGACGGAUGAUGACGGUACCCGCAGAAGAAGCCCGGCCUAACUUCGUGCCAGCAGCCG
rnacentral:rRNA from 1 species